rnacentral:rRNA from 1 species
GUCUGGCCUGCCCACUGAAUUUUGAAGGGCCGCAGUAUUUUGACUGUGCAAAGGUAGCAUAAUCAUUUGCCUUUUAAUUAAAGGCUAGAAUGAAUGGUUGAACGAAAUACAAACUGUCUCACUCUUAAAAUUUUAAUAAUUUAGCUUUCUAGUUAAAAGGCUGGAAUAUUAUUAGAGGACGAGAAGACCCUAUAGAACUUUAUAUAUUUAUAUUUAAUUAAACAUAGUAGAAUAUUAUUAUUUAUGUAUAUUUAUAUUUUGUUGGGGUGACAGGAAAAUUAAUUGAACUUUUUUAAUAUUUAUAACAUUGAUUUAUGAACAUUUGAUCCAUUAAUAUUGAUUAUUAGAAUAAGUUACCUUAGGGAUAACAGCGUAAUUUUGUUGGAGAGUUCAUAUCUAUAACAAAGUUUGCGACCUCGAUGUUGAAUUAAAGAAAUUUUAGAGUGCAGAAGCUUUAAGUAAUAGGUCU